UGCAGUGUACCAGGAUGGAGACAGAGGU
rnacentral:piRNA from 1 species